GACGAACGCUGGCGGCGUGCUUAACACAUGCAAGUCGAACGGAAAGGCCCCCUUGUGGGGUACUCGAGUGGCGAACGGGUGAGUAACACGUGAGUAACCUACCCUUGACUUUGGGAUAACUUCAGGAAACUGGGGCUAAUACCGGAUAGGAGCUCCUGCUGCAUGGUGGGGGUUGGAAAGUUUCGGCGGUUGGGGAUGGGCUCGCGGCUUAUCAGCUUGUUGGUGGGGUAGUGGCUCACCAAGGCUUUGACGGGUAGCCGGCCUGAGAGGGUGACCGGCCACAUUGGGACUGAGAUACGGCCCAGACUCCUACGGGAGGCAGCAGUGGGGAAUAUUGCACAAUGGGCGGAAGCCUGAUGCAGCAACGCCGCGUGCGGGAUGACGGCCUUCGGGUUGUAAACCGCUUUCGCCUGUGACGAAGCGUGAGUAACGGUAAUGGGUAAAGAAGCACCGGCUAACUACGUG
rnacentral:rRNA from 1 species